rnacentral:rRNA from 1 species
GAUGAACGCUGGCGGCGUGCCUAAUACAUGCCAGUCGAGCGAACAGACGAGGAGCUUGCUCCUCUGACGUUAGCGGCGGACGGGUGAGUAACACGUGGAUAACCUACCUAUAAGACUGGGAUAACUUCGGGAAACCGGAGCUAAUACCGGAUAAUAUAUUGAACCGCAUGGUUCAAUAGUGAAAGACGGUUUUGCUGUCACUUAUAGAUGGAUCCGCGCCGUAUUAGCUAGUUGGUAAGGUAACGGCUUACCAAGGCAACGAUGCGUAGCCGAACUGAGAGGGUGAUCGGCCACCCUGGAACUGAGACACGCUCAAGACUCCUACGGGAGGCAGCAGUAGGGAAUCUGCCGCAAUGGGCGAAAGCUUGACGGAGCAACGCCGCGUCAGUGAUGAAGGUCUUCGGAUCGUAAAACUCUGUUAUUAGGGAAGAACAAAUGUGUAAGUAACUAUGCACGUCUUGACGGUACCUAAUCAGAAAGCCACGGCUAACUACGUG